AAGUCGUAACAAGGUUUCCGUAGGUGAACCUGCGGAAGGAUCAUUAUUGUAGUUUUGAAGAGGGUUGUAAAGGUGGGGAAUUGGACAUUUCAUGUUUGUUCCUCCCUUUGCAAUUUCAAACCUCCUCUCAACCAACAUUGUGCACUCAAAAGGUUUUCUUUGGUGGUUAUGUAAAAACCCGUCGUGUGUAGGUGUAUUUAUUAUACACUUGGACCGACUAACUCUUCUGUGCAGUAAAAUGUGCAAAAGGGGGGCCACCGCUUUUAUUAUUAAACCAUUUUAGUUUGUAUCUUUUCUUUUCUGUAUAUUUCACAGUCUUGACUAUUUUUUUUUUAGUUGGGACUGAAAACAACAAAAAGAAACAACUUUUGACAACGGAUCUCUUGGCUCUC
rnacentral:misc_RNA from 1 species